rnacentral:rRNA from 1 species
UUCUUCUGUAGGUAACGUCACAGAUAUAGCGUAUUAAACUACUACCUUUCCUCCCUACUGAAAGUGCUUUACAACCCGAAGGCCUUCUUCACACACGCGGCAUGGCUGCAUCAGGGUUUCCCCCAUUGUGCAAUAUUCCCCACUGCUGCAUCCCGUAGGAGUA